CAGGCGCGUUGGACGAAGGGAAGAUGGCGGCCCCGAGCUUCCCCACGCCGCUGCACGGGCACGUGGGCCGAGGCCCCUUCAGCAAUGUGUACGAGCCCGCGGAGGAUACGUUCCUGCUGCUGGACGCGCUUGAGGCAGCGGCGGCCGAGCUUACGGGAGUGGAAAUAUGCCUUGAAGUAGGGUCAGGGUCUGGAGUGGUAUCUGCAUUCCUAGCCUCUAUGAUAGGUCCUCAAGCUCUGUACAUGUGCACUGAUAUCAACCCUGAGGCAGCAGCUUGUACUCUGGAGACAGCACACUGUAACAAAGUCAACAUUCAGCCAGUUAUUACAGACUUGGUCAAUGGCUUGCUACCAAGAUUGAAGGAAAAAGUUGAUCUUCUAGUGUUUAAUCCCCCCUAUGUAGUGACUCCACCAGAAGAGGUAGGAAGUCACGGAGUAGAAGCAGCUUGGGCUGGUGGCAGAAAUGGUCGGGAAGUCAUGGACAGAUUUUUCCCACUGGCUCCAGAUCUUCUUUCACCAAGAGGAUUAUUCUACUUAGUUACCAUUAAAGAAAACAAUCCAGGUGCAAGUAAUCAUUAAUGAAGCAUGCCACAGAGACAAGUGCUGUUAAUAACUCAAAAGUGAUGAUGUAGACUUUGAGAGUUGGUCAUAAAAAGCAUUACAGCUUCCAUCUUGGAUCACUCACUCUGGAGGAAUCGGACACCAUGUUUGUGAGGACACUCAACAAUGGCCAGAAUCCCAGCAACAGAGCUUUCAGAAGAUCUGACCCAAGUAGUAAAGCAGUUUCUUCAACAUUUCUAGCACCAUAAUUUGACUGGCUCACCGAGAAGAGACAGUGUGACAUGCUAUUCAUGUCAGAUUCUCUAGCACCAAAUUUCAAGUUAAGAAAUAUUUUUAAAACUCAAGUUAAGAAAUAUUUUUAAAACUAUAAAACUAUGGGUGGCUCAGUGGUUAAGCAUCUGCCUUCGGGUUCAGGGUGUGAUCCCGGGGUCCUGGGAUCGAGUCCUGGAUCGGGCUCCCUGCAGGGAGCCUGCUUCUCCCUCUGCCUAUGUCUCUGCCUCAGUCUCUCAUGAAUAAAUAAAUAAAUAUUUUUAAAAAUCUCUAUAAAACUAUCAAUAAAGAUCUCUCUGUGUGGGUCUGGUAUCGGAACCUGACAGCCCACCUUCCACUUCCAUCUGCCAGGGAAGUAUCUUCAAACUUUAUUGCUUGCAUACCUCUGAACACAUUUUGGGAAAACAUAUACCACUUCACAUUAUUUUUAAAUUGAUAACUGACAUUUACCACCAUGAAUUUAAAUAAGUUUAAAUAAGAUAAUUUCCAGUGGCAUAACAUACUUACAUUUUUAAGAACUGUUGUAUCAUUCUUUUAAAUGUAUCUAAUAGAAUCUAAAUACAAUAGCAAUUUGAUUCCCACCAUCAUUGUAUUGUCUGUGGUCAUACCAUCUUCAACGUGCACCAUCUCAUCUGAUUCCCACCAUCACCAAUAUAAUAAUACAAGAACAAACUCUUCGUCAGACAUUUAACAUCAUCCACUGGGUCAAUACUUUUAUUCCACUUUCGUCACAGAUUAUAGCAUAUUUUAGUGCUUAAAUUAUUUUUAUUUGCCCCCAUAAUACUGUUCGGUAACGAAAUAUGAAUAUAAGUUGAAAUUUAAAAAAAAAAUUCCUGUGACGAGACUAUAGGUAUUAAAAAUACAUUUUCUAAAUUAUUAAAUAACUACUAGAACACAAAUGAUAAAAACAUGAGGAGAAAAAAUAUAAUAGCAACACGGAAAAGAACCUAAGACACAUAGUUUAUAGUGAAAAAUGAAUAGAACAGGAGAGAAAGAAUGAAGCAAAAGUGCUAUUUGAAGAAUUCAUGCCUCAGAAUUUUCCAAAAAUGACUAAGGACAGCAAAUCACAGAUUCAAGUAAUUUUACAAUCCCAAACAAACAAAAUCCACACCUGGAGAUACCACAGUAAAACUGUUUAAAACCAAAAACAAAGAGAAAAUCAAAACAGCUGGGGGAGGGUUGGGUGAGGAAUACAUUUCUUACAAGGAAUAAUAAAACUCUAAUUCUUUCCAACAGGAACAGUGGAAUUCCAAAAGACACAUGACACUGCCCAGGUGACUAAUGACCAGAACUGCCAAAGACACAGGGAAGAGUGAAGAUCAAUACACAAUAGAGAGUACAUAUGACAAAUACAAACUAAUAUACAGACUAAUAAAGCAAUAAUGUCUUGUGGGUUUAAAAUAUAAAGAAACACUUGAAAGCAACAGUACAAAAAAAAAUAGUAUUGAAGUUAUUCUAAGGUCCUUGAAUUGUCCUCCAGGAAGCGGUUAAAGUUUUAAUUUACACAAGGCAUUAAGUACAAAUUGUUAUAAACUCUAGGAUAACCUUGAAUAAUAAACCAUACAUAUUUUUAUGAUGUAAAGAUAAUAGAAAAGUAUGAGAAUAAAAAUACUCAUGAAGACUAUGGGUGCCUGGAAAACAAACUAUGGGCGCCUCCCAAGUCUAAAAGAAGACAAAAAAGAACACAAAAGCAAUGAGACAGUUAGAAAGCUAUAACACUUACCUAUUAUUACAUAAAUGAACUUAAUAUUACCCUUAAAAAACAAAGAUUGUUAGACUGAAUAGAAAACAAUUGACAUUUUAAAGGCAUAUGCAACUCUAGAGAAUAAUGGUCAUUCACGUUUGCAAAUAAUGACUACUAUUAGGAAGGACCACAGCACUUACACAAAUACCAGAACAGUUCUAAGAGACACUAUUGGUUGUCCUUCUGUAUCUGUUCUCCUUACCUUCCUCAGCCAUAGAACUCUUGAUUUUUAGCUGGCCUUAUAGCUAGUAGGAAUAAGACUAUAUUUUCUAGCUCCUCUUCUCUUGAAGCUAGGAUUGAAAUGAGAAUAAAUAUAUUGAAAUGAGGAUAUAAGUGCAUGUCGUGUGUGAUUUGUGAAAAGUAUCCUUAUAGAGGCAAGCAAAUUCAUCUUUUUUCCUUUGUGCUGACUGUAAAGUGCAUAAAAUAACUGUAGCUUGAGCUGUCAACUUGGACCAUGGGAUGGAAUCACAAUCUGAGAAUAGUGAGACAACUAAGAAACCCAGGUCCAUGUAUAUACAUAAGACACCUCAGUCUGUUAUGAUUAUGGAGCUUUCAUACCAGACCUGAUGUGCUUACAUCUAGACUUCAUUUCCGAAGGAGAGAAAUUUCUGGUUUAAACCACAUUUGCUUUGGAUUUUUUGUUAUUUAGAGGAACCUAAUUAAUACUGAAUUCUUAAGAACUGCCUCCUAAAUUAAAGAGCAUUAACAUCCCUCUAAAAAGUAGAUCUUGGUCUAGUAUCCAGAAUAUAUAUAUUUUUUAAGCCUUACAACUAAACAACAACAAUUUAAAAACGAACAAAGAAUUUAUGUAGCUAUUUUUCCAAAGAAGACACAAAUGGUCAAUGGACACAUGAAAAGAUGCUCAACAUCUUUAGUCAUUAGAAAUUCAAAUCAAAAUCAGAAUGAGAUACCACUUCACAUCAUUGGAAUGGGUACAAUUGGGGAAAACAAAAUUGUAAGCAUUGGCGAGGAUGUGAGGAUCUUGGAACCCCUGUACACUCUGGGAAUAUAAACUGUGGCAGCUGCUAUGGAGAACAGUUUGGUGUUUCCUCAAAAAGCUAAAAAAAGAACUACCAGCAAUUCUGCUCCUAUGUCUAUACCCUGAAGAAAUGAAAACAUGAACUCAUAAAAAUACUUGUACAUGAAUGUUCACAGACACAUUAUUCACAGAAGCAAAAAGAAACAAUUCAAAUGUCCAUCAAAGGAUGAAUGGAUAAACAAACUGUGGUAUACACGUGCUAUAGAAUAUUAUCCAGCUAUAAAAGGGAAUGAUGUACUUGAUACGUGCUACAAUGUGGAUGAGCCUUUAAAACAUGCCACGUACCCCAAAUAGCCAGGGGAAUACCAAAAAAGAAAACCAAGCCAGGGGCAUCACAAUGCCAGAUUUCAGGUUGUACUACAAAGCUGUGGUCAUCAAGACAGUGUGGUACUGGCACAAAAACAGACACAUAGAUCAAUGGAACAGAACAGAGAACCCAGAAGUGGACCCUCAACUCUAUAGUCAACUAAUAUUCGACAAAGGAAGAAAGACCAUCCACUGGAAAAAGGACAGUCCCUUCAAUAAACGGUGCUGGGAAAAUUCAACAGCCAUGUGCAGAAGAAUGAAACUAGACCAUUCUCCUACACCAUACACAAAGAUAAACUCAAAAUGGAUGAAAGAUCUAAAUGUGAGACAAGAAUCCAUCAAAAUCCUAGAGGAGAGCACAGGCAACACCCUUUUUGAACUUGGCCACAGCAACUUCUUGCAAGAUACAUCUAUGAAAGCAAGGGAAACAAAAGCAAAAAUGAAUUAUUAGGACUUAAGAUAAAAAGCUUCUGCACAGCAAAAAAGAAACAGUCAACAAAACUCAAAGACAACCUACAGAAUGGGAGAAGGUAUUUGCAAAUGACAUAUCAGAUAAAGGGCUAGUAUCCAAGAUCCAUAAAGAACUUACCAAACUCAACCUCAAAGAAACAAUUCAAUCAUGAAAUGAGCAAAAGACAUGAACAGAAAUCUCACAGAGGAAGACACAGACAUGGCCAACAAGCACAUGAGAAAAUGCUCCGCAUCACUGGCCAUCAGGGAAAUACAAAUCAAAACCACAAUGAGAUCCCACCUCACACCAGUGAGAAUGGGGAAAAUUGACAAGGCAGGAAACCACAAAUGUUGGAGAGGAUGUGGAGGAAGGGGAACCAUCUUGCACUGUUGGUGGGAAUGUGAACUGGUGCAGCCACAUGGGAAAACUGUGUGGAGAUUCCUCAAAGAGUUAAAAAUAGACCUGCCCUACGACCCAGCAAUUGCAUUACUGGGUGUUUACCCCAAAGAUACAGAUGCAGUGAAAUGGCAGGACACCUGCACCCCGAUGUUUAUAGCAGCAAUGUCCACAAUAGCCAAACUGUGGAGGGAGUCUUGGUGUCCAUCGAAAGAUGAAUGGAUAAAGAAGCUGUGGUUUAUGUAUACAAUGGAAUAUUGCUCAGCCAUUAGAAAUGCCAAAUACCCACCAUUUGCUUCAACUGAGUGAAGAAAGUCAUUGCAUCUGCUGAGUGAAGUGUCAAUUGGAGAAGGACAAUCCUUAUAUGAUUUCACUCAUAUGGGGAAAUAUAAAAAAUUGUGAAAGUGAUAUAGGGGAAAGGAGAGAAAAUGAGUGGGAAAAAUUAGAGAGGAUGACGAAACAUAAGAUACCUCUAACUCUGGGAAACGAACAAGAGGUAAUGAAAGGGGAGGCGGGCUGGGGGGAUGGGUGACAGGCACUGAGGAGGGCACUUGACAAGAUGAGCACUGGGUGUUAUGCUAUGUGUUGGCAAAUCGAACUUCAAUAAAAAAAUAUACAUAUAUAUUUUUUAAAUGCCAAGACACAAAAGGUCAUGUGUUGUAUAAUUCUAUUUAUAUGAAAUAUCUGGAAUAAGGUAAAUCCAUAGAGAUUGGUGGUUACCAGGGGUAGGGUGGGAGAUUUGGAGGUAUAACUGUUAAAUGUACUAAAUGCCACUAAGCUGUCCAUUUAAAAAUGAUUAUGUUAUGUGAAUUUCACUUCAUUUUUUUAGAAAGGAAAUCUGGCCCAAAAUUACAGCACCAAGAAAGCUAUCAGAAACAGGUUUUAUAAUAAAACCUGAAUAAAAGACCCUAGUAAAAGUCCUAAUAAAAUACUGUUCUAUAGCCAGUAACAAGUAAAUCUGAACCAGUUUUAUUUAUUUAUUUUUAUUUUUUUAAAGAUUUUACUUAUUUAUUCAUGAGAGACACAGAGAGAGAGGUAGGGACACAGGCAGAGGGAGAAGCAGGCUCCAUGCAGGGAGCCCGAUGUGGGACUUGAUCCCAGGUCUCCAGGAUCACACCCUGGGCCCGAAGGCAUGUGCUCAACCGCUGAGCUACCCAGGCAUUCCUGAACCAGUUUUAAAACUAUGUGAUCAAUCAUAACUUGCCUCAGUUUAAUCUUAAUUAACCAAUGACAACUUGCCUCUUGAAGCCAAUCAUUCAGUGACAGUCUCAUACUUCUAAGGUCAACCAAUCAACAAGAAACUUAUCAGUAAGUCUGCUGAGAACAGGCUGGCCACACGUCUUGCCAGAAUAACCAUGUUUGUAAGGCUGACAUCAAUCUACUUCACCUCUGCAACCAACACACCACCAAAACAAUCCCUGAGCCAAAAAAGUUAUAUAAAAUUUGCAGUUGGGUUUACUCAAAAUGAUGGGCCAUUAGCAUAAUUCCCUCUUUCCCAGCUCUUGUUUCAGUUAUCAAGUGGUAAUCUUGAUCUCUUCCUUGGACAAUUCUCACAAGAUUAUUUAUAAUACCUCACUUGACAGUAUUCCAGUGGGUCCUUGGACCAACAAGGAAAGAUCAGUGGCUUCUCAAGCCCCACACUCCCAAAGGUCUCAGAUCUGUUGCCAGGUGAGUUUCUCAAAAACAAUCUGAACUUCUGACCAGUUUCACCGAGUUCUUAUUGCUGAAUUUAUUUUACCUAAGACUUCUAAACAAAUAGAUCUCCAUCUAAGGUUAUUUAUUGUACUUUGUCUUGUCUGUAUGAUAAUCAGACCUUCUGAUUUAAAGGGGAACCAUUUGGUAAAUAUUUUUGCCAUUAUCCUAUUUUCCCACUGCUUGGUUUUCACAUUUUUGUUCAUCUAUUUAUACAAAUCUUGUUUUAUAUACUCCUGCUUUGUCCCUUAUUGUCUUGCACGUACUGAAUGUCUAAGGAAGUGCUUCAUAGGGAACACACAAAGGCACAGGCUAAGCCUCCAAAUCAAUAUAAAUUGGCCCUAAAGACUAAUAGCCCAUUAGACUGAUGACAACUGGUUGCUAAAAUGAUUGGUCAAAUUUAGCUUUGGGUCCUCUAUUAAAUCUUCAUGAGUAUUCCUCAAGGCUUGGCGAUUUGUAAAAGAAAUUCACUUUGUUUAGUCCUUAUUUUAGGAUCAUUAAUGACUGGGGGCACUGAUCACCAGCUCCUUCCUCUUCUCUGCUUGGCUGGGGAUGCUCAUCUACCAUAAAUGAACACACUUUGAACAAAUACAGUGCCUUUAUCUUGUCAUUGAUUUGUCUAUCUCAAAGGCACAACCUUCUCCUGACAGUUUUCUUUCUUUCUUUUUUUUUUUUAAAGAGUUUAUUUAUUCAUGAGACACACACAGAGAGGCAGAGGGAGAAGCAGGCUCCCUGCUGGGAGCCCAAUGUGGGACUCAUCCCAAGACCCUGGGAUCACACCCUGAGCUGAAGGCAGACACUCAACUACUGAGCCACCUAGGUGUCCUGAAGUUUUCAU